GUAUGGUGUUGUAGCUUGUAUGCAGUCGAGCGGAGACGACAAUAACAAUCCUUCGGGUGCGUUAAUGGGCGUCGAGCGGCGGACGGGUGAGUAAUGCCUAGGAAAUUGCCUUGAUGUGGGGGAUAACCAUUGGAAACGAUGGCUAAUACCGCAUAAUGCCUACGGGCCAAAGAGGGGGACCUUCGGGCCUCUCGCGUCAAGAUAUGCCUAGGUGGGAUUAGCUAGUUGGUGAGGUAAUGGCUCACCAAGGCGACGAUCCCUAGCUGGUCUGAGAGGAUGAUCAGCCACACUGGAACUGAGACACGGUCCAGACUCCUACGGGAGGCAGCAGUGGGGAAUAUUGCACAAUGGGCGAAAGCCUGAUGCAGCCAUGCCGCGUGUAUGAAGAAGGCCUUCGGGUUGUAAAGUACUUUCAGUUGUGAGGAAGGGGGUGUAGUUAAUAGCUGCAUCUCUUGACGUUAGCAACAGAAGAAGCACCGGCUAACUCCGUGCCAGCAGCCGCGGUAAUACGGAGGGUGCGAGCGUUAAUCGGAAUUACUGGGCGUAAAGCGCAUGCAGGUGGUUCAUUAAGUCAGAUGUGAAAGCCCGGGGCUCAACCUCGGAACUGCAUUUGAAACUGGUGAACUAGAGUACUGUAGAGGGGGGUAGAAUUUCAGGUGUAGCGGUGA
rnacentral:rRNA from 1 species